rnacentral:rRNA from 1 species
UACGGGGGGAGCAAGCGUUGUUCGGAUUUACUGGGCGUAAAGGGCGCGUAGGCGGCGUGACAAGUCACUUGUGAAAUCUCCGGGCUUAACCCGGAGCGGCCAAGUGAUACUGUCGUGCUAGAGUGCGGAAGGGGCUACUGGAAUUCUCGGUGUAGCGGUGAAAUGCGCAGAUAUCAGGAGGAACACCGAUGGCGAAGGCAGCUCGCUGGGACGGUACUGACGCUGAGGCGCGAAAGCGUGGGGAGCAAACAGG